GGCACCCUGGAUCCAGCCAUUCCGCGUGAGUGAAGAAGGCCUUCGGGUUGUAAAGCUCUUUCAGCCGGAAAGAAACGGUACGCUCUAACAUAGCGUGCUAAUGACGGUACCGGCAGAAGAAGCACCGGCUAACUACGUGCCAGCAGCCGCGGUAAUACGUAGGGUGCGAGCGUUAAUCGGAAUUACUGGGCGUAAAGCGUGCGCAGGCGGAUUAUUAAGCAAGACGUGAAAGCCCCGGGCUUAACCUGGGAAUGGCGUUUUGAACUGGUAGUCUAGAGUGUGUCAGAGGGGGGUGGAAUUCCACGUGUAGCAGUGAAAUGCGUAGAUAUGUGGAGGAACACCAAUGGCGAAGGCAGCCCCCUGGGAUAACACUGACGCUCAUGUACGAAAGCGUGGGUAGCAAACAGGAUUAGAUACCCUGGUAGUCCACGCCCUAAACGAUGUCAACUGGUUGUUGGGGGAGUGAAAUCCCUUAGUAACGAAGCUAACGCGUGAAGUUGACCGCCUGGGGAGUACGGUCGCAAGAUUAAAACUCA
rnacentral:rRNA from 1 species